ensembl:lncRNA
CUCUACUGUCUCUCCCUCACACCUCUACUGUCUCACCCCUCACACCUCUACUGUCUCUCCCUCACACCUCUACUGUCUCUCCCCUCACACCUCUACUGUCUCACCCUCACACCUCUACUGUCUCUCCCUCACACCUCUACUGUCUCACCCUCACACCUCUACUGUCUCUCCCCUCACACCUCUACUGUCUCACCCUCACACCUCUACUGUCUCUCCCUCACACCUCUACUGUCUCUCCCCCACACCUCUACUGUCUCUCCCCUCACACCUCUACUGUCUGCCUUCCUGUCUGUAGUAUGAUCCUGCAUCACUCCACAUACCUGUUGUGUUUGGUAGAUUUCCCUACAAAUACACAAGAAGCUAAGAUCUCACUGUUUCCUCCACUCUUUCACCAACACCAUCACCCUCUCAUUUUCCCAUGGAGAUUACCUGGGUCUGUACUGUUUAUGGACAAGCUCUGCGUAUGUGCGUGCGUGCGUGCGUGCGUGCGUGCGUGCGUGCGUGCGUGCGAGCUAGUGAUAUUCCACCAGCCUGAUAGGAUGUUAGCCAUGCUCCAGGUAUUUAUUACCUUUCUUUAGGGAUGUGUAUGUCUGAGACUGUCUUUUGGAGUUUGUGGGGGGCGGAGCUUUGUUAAAAGAGAUAGUCAUGUGACUAACGGAAGAGAAGUCAGUAAGAUGGAACUAAAGGAGAAAGAUGAGUGGGGACCACAUUGCUGAAUGGAUGCUCCAGGCCUGUUGAGUUGUUGUCCAGUGUGUGUGUUUCUCCAGGCCUGUGGAGGGUUGGCCAGUGUGUGAAUGACUCAGUAGCACUCACACAGCAUGACUAAUCAACAAGCCAACACACACACAUGGGCACCCACGUACGCACAAGCCAUGAAGAGAAUAACAGAGGACAGCUCAAGGAUGAGGGAGGAGGACAGAACAGGAGGAAGAGAGGAGAGGAGAGAAGAGGAGAGGAGAGGAGAGGAGAGGAGGCAUGGUAUUGGUUAUCCUUUUAUCCUCCUCUUCUAGAUGUGCUCCAGUAAAAAUGAAGUGCUGAAUAUUCCUAAAUUCUAUUACUCAAGGUGUUCACACUGAUGAAACCACAGCCAGAUAAAAGAGAGAGAGAGUUGAUGCAUAGAGAGAGAGAAAGAAGAAGAGGCAGGAGGAGGGAGGGAG